rnacentral:rRNA from 1 species
UACAGAGGUGCCAAGCGUUGUUCGGAUUUAUUGGGCGUAAAGGGUGCGUAGGCGGUUGUGUAAGUCGGGUGUGAAAUUUCGGAGCCUAACUCCGAAACUGCAUUCGAAACUGCACAGCUCGAGGUCUGGAGAGGUGAUUGGAAUUCUAGGUGUAGCAGUGAAAUGCGUAGAUAUCUAGAGGAACACCAGAGGCGAAAGCGAAUCACUGGACAGAACCUGACGCUGAGGCACGAAAGCGUGGGGAGCAAAAGGG